CAGCUUUACUCUGCAAAUAGCUCAACCUCUGAGGGGAGGAACUUCACCAUUCACCAUGUCUUCAGGCAGAGUCCAGCAAAGCAGCUUCCACUGGAAAUCCUCAGGGAAGUUAUUUUGUCGGCGGGUGACUCUGCAUAUUUGACACUUACUCUGGUUUGCAGAUGGUUUAGGGAUGUGCUCCGAAGUUUUUCGGAAAGCGGCACAGUUUGCCUGGCUAGACAUUGUGGCCAACUGGAAGAAUUGUCCUCCUGUCUCCUGACGGGAACGAGUUCAGACGGAUGUACAGCAUCAGGGAAUGCUUGCAGUGCAGAGCCCUUUUCAAGUUUAACCCACCAGGGUACAGGGAAGAGACCGGUGUGGUGAUCUUCUGGGCUUUUGUUUACACAGGAUUUUGUUCCAAGGACUGGUUUUUUUUUUUUUUUUUGCGGCAUGAAACACAUUUGUGUGUUAAGUUAAUUGAAGGGAAAUAGAGAAUGGACUGAGAUCAACUGGUUUUGAUGUAUUAAUUGAUGUCAUUUAAAGUUAAACUUUGCAAUGUAUAAUGUUUUAAUAAAAAAGCUAUGGAAAACACGUGCAUGACAACAGGUUUCAGUCAUUUACAUCAGUCUAUCAUUCUUUAAGGUUUCUCAUAUUUGAUGAUAACAUCAUUUGCUAUGCAUUGCUCAUAAUGGAUUCUUAAUUUAGUUGUG